rnacentral:rRNA from 1 species
UCAUAAGUAUAAUUUCUUGAUUCUGAUUUAAUUCGUUUAUAAUAAAAUCAUUUUUGUUGUUAGUGUAUUUGUUAGAGAUUUAAUUAGUUGAUAAAUAGUACUGUGAGGGAAGUGUUAAUAUAAUUUAAUUGUAAAGUAAGUUGUAUUGAAUUUAUGUACCUUGUGUAUCAGGGUUAAUUUAUUAGAAAAUAUUAAUAUUAUUCUUCUCGAUUUUCUUGGAGUUAAUAGCUUACAUUACUUAAUGUGUUAUAAUUAAUAAUAAUAGGUUAUUAGUGGUGAAAUGUCAUUCGUCAAGAAGGGUAUCUAGUUUUUGGGGAAAUGAAUUUAAUUCAUAUUUUCUUUUUAGUAAGAAAGUUGAUGGAUAUACUUAAAUGAAAAUGACUAGUAGGAGGGAUAAGCUUCUUGUUAUAAAUUUAAAAGAUAUAAUGUAUUGGUUAGAAUAUAUAGGUUUAGGAUUGAUUAUUAUUAUAAGUAUGUUAAAAUUUCACUUGAUUAACAAUUAAUUUUAUUUUCUUUAAUAUUUUACUCAGAAAAUGAAUUGAUUUAUAUAUUAUUGAUAAUUAUGAUUGAAUUAGUAAAUUAAAUAUUGAACUGUGAUAUUUAUGAUGUAUAAAUAUCAAUGAGGAAUUAGGCAAUAAUUUAUUCGCCUGUUUAACAAAAACAUCUCUUCUUGAUAUUUUUAAGAAGUAAUACCUGCCCAAUGAUAAUAUUUAAUGGCCGCGGUAUUUUGACCGUGCAAAGGUAGCAUAAUCAUUAGUCUUUUAAUUGAAGGCUGGAAUGAAUGGUUAGACGAGAUAAAUACUAUCUUAUUGGUAAUGAAUUGAAUUUAAUUAUUAGGUAAAAAAGCUUAAAUAAUUUUAUGGGACGAGAAGACCCUAUAGAGUUUAAUACUUAUUUAUUUAAUUUUGUGGGAAAAUUUUAUUAUAAUUGGUAAGUAUUUUGUUGGGGUGAUGGAAAGAUAAUUGUAACUCUUUUUUGAAUAUAAAUACUUAUGUGUAUGUUCUUGAUCCACUAAUAGUGAUUAUAAGACUAAAUUACCUUAGGGAUAACAGCGUAAUCUUUUCUGAGAGUUCUAAUCGAGGAAGAGGAUUGCGACCUCGAUGUUGGAUUUAAGAUAAAUUCUGGGUGUAGCAGCUUAGAAAUUAGGUCUGUUCGACCUUUAAACUCUUACAUGAUCUGAGUUCAAACCGGCGUGAGCCAGGUUGGUUUCUAUCUAUUAUAAAGUUAUAUAUUUUAGUACGAAAGGACCAAGUAUGUAGAAUAAUUUUUGUUGAUGAAUAUUAAUAA